CCCCCAGUGUUCCUGCGUCACCUGAA
rnacentral:piRNA from 1 species